GCCAGCAGCUCUAUCACACUGAGCUCACAGCUCACAGCUGGCAGCCCACUGGAGCUCAGCAGGUGUGAGCCUGGCCAGUACCUGGAUGGGAGACCCCCUGGGAAAGAUAAGGUUUCUGCUGGCA
rnacentral:rRNA from 1 species